rnacentral:rRNA from 1 species
UACGGAGGGGGCUAGCGUUGUUCGGAAUUACUGGGCGUAAAGCGCGCGUAGGCGGACCUGCAAGUCGGGGGUGAAAGCCCGAGGCUCAACCUCGGAACUGCCUUCGAUACUGCGGGUCUCGGGUCCGGGAGAGGUGAGUGGAAUUCCUAGUGUAGAGGUGAAAUUCGUAGAUAUUCGGAAGAACACCAGUGGCGAAGGCGGCUCACUGGACUGGUAUUGACGCUGAGGUGCGAAAGCGUGGGGAGCAAACAGGG